UCUAUACAGCUGCCAGACACGUCAUUGCAAAAUGACGAAUGGCAGACAGAUAAAAAAAGUUACAUUUACUGAAAAGGACACAAACUGAAAUUACAAUCUUGUCAGCAAAGAUGUACGUAUUUAUUUAUUGUAAUACUAAAUUCACAAUCAUCCGCAGUUUUAUCAUGCUUUCGGUCUUUAGUCUUAUUUAUCUCCUCUUUUUCUCUUCAGAGAAAAAAUUAAUUUUUAAUCUUUUAUUCAUAGGUUUACUAUAAUUUCAAAGAAAAGCUAUAUAUAAAUUUUGCUUUCAUCAAUCAACUGUAAUCAUUCGCUUCCGGAAAUUUUUAAUCGUAUCUCCGUAUUCUUCAAACAAGGAACCUGCUACUAAAAGUUGAUGAAAAGGGCACAUGAGAACUCGAAGAAAUAUGAAAAAAAGGAAAUAUAAACACACACAACCGGUACGAGCUUCUCGGAAGAAUUUCCAGAGAUGGAUUUUUACAUUUACAUACGUUGCAUUUAAUGUUAAACGUGAUCAUAUCAUUUUGGCAAUAAGUUUUAUAGAAGAAUGAAGAUUUGCGUACAAUAUUACGAUUAAAAUCAACCGAUCUCAGAAGACUGGAGUCUUAUACAUGUCAUACAUUUUCAAUUUGGGACACGUAUUCAUGGAGGAAUGCUAAUUAGCAUAAGAUCAAAAAUAUGCAUAUAAAUAGGAACUGGAAGCGCAAGAAGGACAGUUCAAACAGGCAGCUCUCUCAAACAACAAUUUUUCAUAAUAUACGCAGAGCUGGAGGAGUAUAUUAUUGUUGUUCCGAAGAAAUUCCGAUUGUCGAAGUAUGUAAAUGUUUUGAAAAUAAGAGAGAGAGAGAGAGACUUACCUCCAUUUCGAUCGUUUCCGCCAGCGGGAAUUCAGGACACAGCGAGAAGCCGGCAACGAUGACAGAUUCGAACUGAAUCUUUUAUCAGGCUCUUCUUCAGCAGAUACGAAUAUGGUGCGUCGACCUCGAAAAGAGGAACAAUUUCGUAUGUCGCGUUAUCUGAUCGCGAGGCGCGCCGACAAGUAACGACGUCCCCGCUUAUUAUCAUGCCUCGCGCAACUUAAUUACGUCACUUGUUCAAUAUUUACACCGAUAGCGCGUGUCCCACGCGCACGUAUAAUAUGUACCGGCGAUGGGAAACACGUUGUGUCGUCAGACUUUUCGAAGAAACAACGCUGCAUGACUACGAGUUACGUAUCCUGGACAAGCAUCGCUACUUCUCGAGAUUCUACCAAGAUUCACUGUUGUAUUCUCGAGAACAUUGAUGUAUUUGUGUUAAUAACUCUUAUAUUAUUGGAGUAUUAAUAGAGCUCUAACGCGCUAUUUAGAUUAUAUAUAUUUUUUUCAUUGAAUAUAGAAUAUAGAGGAUGUUAAUAUACGAUAUAUAUUUAAAUUGCACAAUAUAUAUAUUAUGUACGAUUUACAUAAAUGAUAGAAUACACAGGAGUCUGUUAUGCAAGGAUCUCAUCCAAAUUGUAUCUGUCUUUCCUCUUUUCAUAGAAAUCUUUCUGGUUUCACAAAACCAACGAGAAUUCGUUCAUCGAAGUCACGUUCUCCGUUUUUUAAAAGAAAACGUCGAUACAGAUACGAAUCUUGAACGCAAUGUCACGGGGUCGAGUCGUGUAACAGCGUGAAAAUGAUUAACCGGUGUAGAGACACCUGUGUUGUAAUUAAAUUCUCACUCGGUUCGCGAACUGUGAAUGAUGUAAAAAAAUCGCGACAGAUAUUUAUGCGAAAAUAUCUGGAGUAGGCAGGCGAUACGUCAUCGUCGAGCGGAAUCGCGUCGAACGCCGACGACUAGACGACCGUACAUAUGUAUAUUGCACGUUCGUUUUAUUAUCCUGACACGAGCCGCUCAACGGCUGCCAUUUUACCUAUCUCGCGACCUUGUUCUCUGACCGUUCUCCGAACAAAAGCAACAGGACGGCUGGUAUGUAACUUCGGCGGCCAAGCGUGCUGCCGUUGGCGAGCACGAACCGGUCGCGAAUAGUAUCCGCCGGUUUGGCGGAUAAUAAAUAUGCAUAUAAAUGUUUCUUUUUCUAAGGGGGGAGUGAUUUGACUCGACAAAGCUUAUCGCGAAAGAUUUGUCGAGCAAAGCGACGAAAAUAGAUUUUGAAAUAAUUUUUAUUUUCUUCAUAUUAUCAAGGAUCUAUUAAAAAUCGAUUAAAAUUAAAAAGAAGAAUAAAGAAGAAUGUAAUAGAUUCUGUUUGGUCUAAUGGUCUGAUGGUCUGAUGAAUUAAGAACAGAUUUUUCUUGCCGGAGGAUAAUUAGUUACAUUGUAGUAAUUACAGCUUGCAGUAUAUUAUUAAGGUUUGUCUAUGGGAUAGUAUUUUUGUCGUAGACAAAUUAGUUUGCAAUGAAAAUUAUUUAAUACAAGACUAUAA